AUUGAACGCUGGCGGCAGGCCUAACACAUGCAAGUCGAGCGGAUGAAGGGGGCUUGCUCCUGGAUUCAGCGGCGGACGGGUGAGUAAUGCCUAGGAAUCUGCCUGGUAGUGGGGGAUAACGUCCGGAAACGGGCGCUAAUACCGCAUACGUCCUGAGGGAGAAAGUGGGGGAUCUUCGGACCUCACGCUAUCAGAUGAGCCUAGGUCGGAUUAGCUAGUUGGUGGGGUAAAGGCCUACCAAGGCGACGAUCCGUAACUGGUCUGAGAGGAUGAUCAGUCACACUGGAACUGAGACACGGUCCAGACUCCUACGGGAGGCAGCAGUGGGGAAUAUUGGACAAUGGGCGAAAGCCUGAUUCAGCCAUGCCGCGUGUGUGAAGAAGGUCUUCGGAUUGUAAAGCACUUUAAGUUGGGAGGAAGGGCAGUAAGUUAAUACCUUGCUGUUUUGACGUUACCAACAGAAUAAGCACCGGCUAACUUCGUG
rnacentral:rRNA from 1 species